UGCCUUAGUAACGGCGAAGUGAAGCGGCAACAGCUCAAAUUUGAAAUCUGGCCCUCGGGUCCGAGUUGUAAUUUGUAGAGGAUGCUUUUGGUGCGGUACCUUCCGAGUUCCCUGGAACGGGACGCCAUAGAGGGUGAGAGCCCCGUCUGGUUGGAUACCAAUCCUCUGUAAAGCUCCUUCGACGAGUCGAGUAGUUUGGGAAUGCUGCUCUAAAUGGGAGGUAUAUGUCUUCUAAAGCUAAAUAUUGGCCAGAGACCGAUAGCGCACAAGUAGAGUGAUCGAAAGAUGAAAAGCACUUUGAAAAGAGAGUUAAAAAGUACGUGAAAUUGUUGAAAGGGAAGCGCUUAUGACCAGACUUGGGCUUGGUUGAUCAUCCUGGGUUCUCCCUGGUGCACUCUUCCAGUUCAGGCCAGCAUCAGUUUGCUUCGGGGGAUAAAGGCUUCGGGAAUGUGGCUCCUCCGGGAGUGUUAUAGCCCGUUGUGUAAUACCCUGAAACAGACUGAGGUUCGCGCAUCUGCAAGGAUGCUGGCGUAAUGGUCAUCAGCGACCCGUCUUGAAACACGGACCAAGGAGUCGUCUUCGUAUGCGAGUGUUCGGGUGUUAAACCCCUACGCGUAAUGAAAGUGAACGCAGGUGAGAGCUUCGGCGCAUCAUCGACCGAUCCUGAUGUUCUCGGAUGGAUUUGAGUAAGAGCAUACGGGGCCGGACCCGAAAGAAGGUGAACUAUGCCUGUAUAGGGUGAAGCCAGAGGAAACUCUGGUGGAGGCUCGCAGCGGUUCUGACGUGCAAAUCGAUCGUCAAAUAUGGCAUGGGGCGAAAGACUAAUCGA
rnacentral:rRNA from 1 species